rnacentral:misc_RNA from 1 species
CGCAAAUUGCGCCCUUUGGUAUUCCGAAGGGCAUGCCUGUUUGAGUGUCAUAUAGACUUCAUCUACUCGGGUUUCCGAGCAAGGUGCUUUGGGUGCUUGCCCGGCCAUCAGGUCGGGCUCACCUCAAAUGUCUAAGUGGAAUGCGUAAUAAGCUUUUCGUAACCUCCACUCUAAUAUCACACUUUAGCUCUGACCUCAAAUCAGGUAGGACUACCCGCUGAACUUAA